rnacentral:rRNA from 4 species
GUUAUAUGGUCAAGCGAAUAAGCGCACACGGUGGAUGCCUAGGCGGUCAGAGGCGAUGAAGGACGUGGUAGCCUGCGAAAAGUGUCGGGGAGCUGGCAACAAGCUUUGAUCCGGCAAUGUCCGAAUGGGGAAACCCACUGCUUCGGCAGUAUCCUGCAGUGAAUUCAUAGCUGCUGGAAGCGAACCCGGUGAACUGAAAUAUCUAAGUAACCGGAGGAAAAGAAAUCAACCGAGAUUCCCUAAGUAGUGACGAGCGAACGGGGAGCAGCCCUUAAGCUGGAAUGGCUUUAGAAAAACAAUCUGGAAAGAUUGGCCAUAGAAGGUGAUAGCCCUGUAUUUAAAAGGGCCACUCCAGUGAAGACGAGUAGGGCGGGGCACGUGAAACCCUGUCUGAAUAUGGGGGGACCAUCCUCCAAGGCUAAAUACUCCUGACCGACCGAUAGUGAACCAGUACCGUGAGGGAAAGGCGAAAAGAACCCCGGAGAGGGGAGUGAAAUAGAUCCUGAAACCGUGUGCGUACAAGCAGUAGGAGCUCGCAAGAGUGACUGCGUACCUUUUGUAUAAUGGGUCAGCGACUUACUGUUCGUGGCAAGCUUAACCGUAUAGGGGAGGCGAAGGGAAACCGAGUCUGAUAAGGGCGCAUAGUCGCGGGCAGUAGACCCGAAACCGGGUGAUCUAGUCAUGGCCAGGGUGAAGGUGCCGUAACAGGUACUGGAGGCCCGAACCCACGUCUGUUGCAAAAGACGGGGAUGAGCUGUGAUUAGGAGUGAAAAGCUAAUCGAACCCGGAGAUAGCUGGUUCUCCUCGAAAGCUAUUUAGGUAGCGCCUCGGACGAAUACUACUGGGGGUAGAGCACUGUUAUGGCUAGGGGGUCAUCGCGACUUACCAAACCAUUGCAAACUCCGAAUACCAGUACGUACUAUCCGGGAGACACACGGCGGGUGCUAACGUCCGUCGUGAAAAGGGAAACAACCCAGACCCACAGCUAAGGUCCCAAAUUCACUGCUAAGUGGAAAACGAUGUGGAAAGGCAUAGACAGCCAGGAGGUUGGCUUAGAAGCAGCCACCCUUUAAAGAAAGCGUAAUAGCUCACUGGUCGAGUCGGUCUGCGCGGAAGAUUUAACGGGGCUAAGCAGUGAACCGAAGCUUGGGGUGCAUAAAACUUGUUUUAUGCGCGGUAGAGGAGCGUUCCGUAAGCCUGCGAAGGUGGAUUGAGAAGUCUGCUGGAGGUAUCGGAAGUGCGAAUGCUGACAUGAGUAACGAUAAUGCGGGUGAAAAGCCCGCACGCCGAAAGCCCAAGGUUUCCUUGCGCAACGUUAAUCGACGCAGGGUUAGUCGGUCCCUAAGGCGAGGGCGAAAGCCGUAGUCGAUGGGAAGCAGGUUAAUAUUCCUGCACCUCGCGUGAGUGCGAUGGAGGGACGGAGAAGGUUAGGUGUACCGGGCGUUGGUUGUCCCGGGGAAAGGCGGUAGGUUUGGAUCUUUGGCAAAUCCGGGAUCCUUUAAGACCGAGCACCGAGACGAGCCUUUAUGGCGAAGUCACUGAUACCACGCUUCCAGGAAAAGCUCCUAAGCUUCAGCUCACGAAGACCGUACCGUAAACCGACACAGGUGGGUAGGAUGAGAAUUCUCAGGCGCUUGAGAGAACUCGGGUGAAGGAACUAGGCAACAUGGCACCGUAACUUCGGGAGAAGGUGCACCCUUUUUGGUGGCUCAUGCGAGCUAUAGCUGAAGAGGGUCGCAGAAACCAGGCCGCUGCGACUGUUUAUCAAAAACACAGCACUCUGCAAACACGAAAGUGGACGUAUAGGGUGUGACGCCUGCCCGGUGCUGGAAGGUUAAUUGAUGGGGUCAGCCGCAAGGCGAAGCUCUUGAUCGAAGCCCCAGUAAACGGCGGCCGUAACUAUAACGGUCCUAAGGUAGCGAAAUUCCUUGUCGGGUAAGUUCCGACCUGCACGAAUGGCGUAACGACAGCGGCGCUGUCUCCACCCGAGACUCAGUGAAAUUGAAAUCGCUGUGAAGAUGCAGCGUUCCCGUGGCAAGACGGAAAGACCCCGUGAACCUUUACUAUAGCUUUACACUGAACGUUGAGUUCGUCUGUGUAGGAUAGGUGGGAGGCUAUGAAACUGUGGCGCUAGCUGCAGUGGAGCCAUCCUUGAAAUACCACCCUGUCGUGCUUGACGUUCUAACCUAGAUCCGUUAUCCGGAUCAGGGACCGUGUAUGGUGGGUAGUUUGACUGGGGCGGUCUCCUCCUAAAGAGUAACGGAGGAGCACGAAGGUACGCUCAGCGCGGUCGGACAUCGCGCACUGUGUGCAAAGGCAUAAGCGUGCUUGACUGCAAGAUCGACGGAUCAAGCAGGUACGAAAGUAGGUCUUAGUGAUCCGGUGGUUCUGUAUGGAAGGGCCAUCGCUCAACGGAUAAAAGGUACUCCGGGGAUAACAGGCUGAUACCGCCCAAGAGUUCAUAUCGACGGCGGUGUUUGGCACCUCGAUGUCGGCUCAUCACAUCCUGGGGCUGUAGUCGGUCCCAAGGGUAUGGCUGUUCGCCAUUUAAAGUGGUACGCGAGCUGGGUUCAGAACGUCGUGAGACAGUUCGGUCCCUAUCUGCCAUGGGCGUUGGAAGUUUGAGAGGGGCUGCUCCUAGUACGAGAGGACCGGAGUGGACGAACCUCUGGUGUUCCGGUUGUCACGCCAGUGGCAUUGCCGGGUAGCUAUGUUCGGAAGCGAUAACCGCUGAAAGCAUCUAAGCGGGAAGCGCGCCUCAAGAUGAGACUUCCCGGGGCACAAGCCCCCUAAAGGAACCAUAUAGACUAUGUGGUUGAUAGGUCAGGUGUGUAAGUACAGCAAUGUAUUGAGCUAACUGAUACUAAUGAUCCGUGCGGCUUGACCAUAUAACCU